UUAGUGAAAUAACCUGGGACUUCAUGUCCCAAACCUUCUCACAUCCACACACCUUUGUGCACUGUUGGACGGUUCUUUAUUUUUAUUUUUAUUUUCUAAAAUAAAAUAGAGGUACUGUCCUAUUAUUUUACAAACAUCUUAUGUAUGUAAGGAACGUUUUAUUCAAUGCUCUAGCAGCACUGAAAUAAAUAAAGUUAAAACAAAACUUUCAACAACGGAUCUCUUGGCUCUCACAUCGAUGAAGAACGCAGCGAAAUGCGAUAAGUAAUGUGAAUUGCAGAAUUCAGUGAAUCAUCGAAUCUUUGAACGCAUCUUGCGCUCCUUGGUAUUCCGAGGAGCAUGCCUGUUUGAGUGUCAUGAAUCUAUCAAACUACAAUUGUUUUUAUUAAUAAUUGUCUGUUUGGACAUUGGAUGCUUGCUGGACAAUUAUAUGUAACCCGGCUCAUCUGAAAUAUAUUAGCUGAUCCUAAUAUCAUGGAUUUAUCCACUUGGCGUGAUAAGUAUCACCCGCUGAGGACUUGUCCUGAAAUAAUGGAUUGCUUCUAAUCAUAGAUACUACUGUAUCAUACUGAAUCAUCUGACCUCAAAUCAGGUAGGACUACCCGCUGAACUUAAGCAUAUCAAUAAGCGGAGGAAAAGAAACCAACAGGGAUUCCCUUAGUAACGGCGAGUGAAGUGGGAAAAGCUCAAAUUUGUAAUCUGGCAGCCUCAGGUUGUCCGAGUUGUAGCCUAGAGAAGUGUUUUCCGUGCUGGACCAUGUACAAGUCCUUUGGAACAAGGUGUCUUAGAGGGUGAGAAUCCCGUACAUGACAUGGAUCACCAGUGCUUCUGUGAUACACUCUCCAAGAGUCGAGUUGUUUGGGAAUGCAGCUCU
rnacentral:rRNA from 1 species